rnacentral:sRNA from 10 species
UUUCUUUGUGUAUAUCUUUUAUACAGUGAGGAGGAAGCAAGAAUGAAGAUAUAUUCAGUUUCUACCAGGCACUACUAUGCAUUUGGAGGUCUUGUGUCUGAAGAGAACUUAAAAGGAGUUCGGUGGGUUUAUCCUGAUUCCUACUUGGAUGUGAAGAAUAAGGAGACCCUUUCAUCCAUGGGCAAGCAGUUCCAUAUGAUCCGAAGUAUCAUGAGCCUUUAGCAGCUUACCUACAAAGUGGGAAGCAGCAAAAUUCUUGCCGUAUUGCUGGAUUUUGUGCCUCAUGUGCUAUCCAGAAACAUGUUAGCCGUGCUCUUCAAUCAACUGGGAGAAUAUUGGCUCCGAAUGAUGAUCUGGCCUCAAACCUUCGAUGCAUAUCUCCGAAUGAUGAGCCCUUGCUAGAUUUGAGUCUUGAAAUAGCUAAGGCCGAUUCGUUGCUUCAAGCACUCAAAAACUUCACUGCUGCGGAGCUUUAGGACGGAGGGGAGAAGCAGUAUCAAUGCCAACGCUGCAAGCAGAAAGUUAGGGCAACGAAACAGAUCACAGUUUACAUUACAAAAGCACCUCAUGUACUCAACAUCCAUCUAAAGAGAUUUCCUGCACAUGAAAUCUGUUGUCAGUG